ensembl:snRNA U6 U6 spliceosomal RNA
UUGCUUUAGCAGCACAUAUACUAAAAUUGGAAUGAUAUAGACAUUAGCAUGGCCCCUGCACAAGGAUGACAUAGAGAUUAGUGAAAUGCUCAAUACUUUU